rnacentral:lncRNA from 1 species
UUAAUUUAUUUAUUUAAUAUGAAACUAUAAAAAUAUAAAUUAAUUGUCGUUGGAACUCCACCGGACGUCGCUGGACUGCCACCGGACGUUGUUGGAAAGUCGCCGGAACUUCGCCGGACGUUGUCAAAAAGUUGCCAGAACUCUGCCAGACGUUCGUCGGACCGCCUUUGGAUGUUGUCUGAAAGUCACCGGACCACCAUUUUAUUAUAUAUAUAUUAGAUUAUAUUUGAUUACUAAUAUAAAUAGUUUAAUAUUUAUGGUAAAAAAUAAAUUUGUCUAAAGAAAAAAAAUUGUAAUUCAUUUUCUUAUCAAAUUUUAUAUCAAACCAAACAAUGAAAUCUAAUUUCACUACUCCCCUCCUCUCCUUUCUUUUCCCUUUCCCUCCAUUCCACUCUUUUCCUCUCCUCCCAUUUCUUCAAACCAAACAUGGCCCUAAGGUAAUUUUCUUUCGUUCUUUCCAUUGUUCGUUUCUCUAGUGUCAAGUUAUUAACUCAAAAUGGCCAUAACCUUUAAUGGAUUUCCCAAAAUUGUGAUCGAGUUUUGUUCAAAAGUGAAAAAUCAUAUACGUAUUUAACAAAAUCCUAUAUGAAGUCGCAAGUGCGCAAGCAUUUGGGACAAUUCAUCACUAGUUGCACAAUGUUACACUUGUUGAAUGUCAAGGGAAUACAUGUUGUGGUUCGGAGGAAUUACACAGAUUUCAGGUUUCCCAAAAAUCACUUAUCUCCUUUUGACAAAAAGUAGUUCAUCACCUAGCUUCCCUCAUUCUUCUUGUUCAAAAGAAAGCUACAGCAAAAUAACAGUGAAAAACAACUUCAUACAUGCAACUCUAUCACAGUCAUACAGCUAAUGCUCAUGAUAAAUUGAUGACCAUUGAAUCCAAUGCUUGCUUCGAAAGCAAUCUCGUGCAACUGAAACCAGAUUGGCCGUCCGUUUUCAAAACCUUGUAGCUAAUAGCCGAAUGUCAACUUAUGCUUCUAUCAUUAUUGUUCAAUAUGGUGAUGAUUAGCACAAGCUUUUAAAACAAAAGCAGCAGCCAACAAAUGAAACGAAAAGGACCUAGAAACGAAAAGGACCUAGAAAAGAAAAGGCAAGAGUUGCAGUUUGUUGUGAAGGAAACAAAUUGUGGAUGAAAAGAGAGAAGGUUUUAAUGUAAGCUAAAGUUAGAAAAGUGGGUUUCUUGAUGAGUUUGACUUAAUAAAAUAUUUCAGUCAUUUAAUUGCAUUUCAUAAGUGAAGUAACAGUCAAUAGUAACCUGCAUAUUCAUGUCGUGGGCAGAUAUGAGUAACUUUUCCCAAACUUUUCGUUUAUCCGUCAUUUCCCCAAGCCACAGGGUAGGGUAAGUGUGGAUUUCCCUUUAACUAUAGUACUUGACCCAACAUUAUUUAAGCUCGAAAGUCUUAAGUCUUUUUUUAACGUGUGUGACUGUGUAAUCUAAUAAUUUAUUUAAUAGAACUGAUGGUUUUUAGAGUAUUUAAUUAUAGGUCAGAAGCUUAAAUUCGCAUUGAUUCCAUGUUAAAAUGAUUAAUUUUUUCCCUUCAUAUUUUGUCAGGGUAAUACUUGAAAGACGACAUUUGUCCAUGAGAUUCCUAAAAACGUAACUUUUGCGCAAUAAAAUUAAAACGGAUGGCGGAAGCUUUAGAAAUCUCGGAUCGGCUUCAUUCAAAAACGAAAAUCAAAAGGAAAGAUUUAAGUUUAAUUACCUCACUUGUAGUUUCAAAAAUGACUUCGUGAAGAAGGAGAAAAUGACUGAAAACAGCAAGCUACGAACACUGUCCAGAAAAUAGACCUCUGCACGAACAACUUCUGUUUUGCCACGAUUUGAGAUCCUUAAAGCACCCCAAUUGUGAUGCCUCUAAUCAGUCCACACUUAGAAAUGUUCUAGGAGUUCAUAGGAUUUGGAAUCACCAAAUGUCGUUUAGAAAUGAGAGAGAUAAUGAAGAAACAUGAAUGCUAGUUCAUGAUGAUUCAUUCUACCAAAUAAAGCCACCAUUAUCUUUUCAAUAAUGGCACCAAACAUUAUCAUGUGCUAG